rnacentral:rRNA from 1 species
UAGGGAACCUUCCACAAUGGACGCAAGUCUGAUGGAGCAACGCCGCGUGAGUGAAGAAGGUUUUCGGAUCGUAAAGCUCUGUUGUUGGUGAAGAAGGAUAGAGGUAGUAACUGGCCUUUAUUUGACGGUAAUCAACCAGAAAGUCACGGCUAACUACGUGCCAGCAGCCGCGGUAAUACGUAGGUGGCAAGCGUUGUCCGGAUUUAUUGGGCGUAAAGCGAGCGCAGGCGGAAGAAUAAGUCUGAUGUGAAAGCCCUCGGCUUAACCGAGGAACUGCAUCGGAAACUGUUUUUCUUGAGUGCAGAAGAGGAGAGUGGAACUCCAUGUGUAGCGGUGGAAUGCGUAGAUAUAUGGAAGAACACCAGCGGCGAAGGCGGCUCUCUGGUCUGCAACUGACGCUGAGGCUCGAAAGCAUGGGUAGCGAACAGGAUUAGAUACCCUGGUAGUCCAUGCCGUAAACGAUGAGUGCUAAGUGUUGGGAGGUUUCCGCCUCUCAGUGCUGCAGCUAACGCAUUAAGCACUCCGCCUGGGGAGUACGACCGCAAGGUUG